AAAUUUGGUUUGGUUAUUGGGAAAUCUUUCUAGUUUUUUAUAUAAUAUUUUAAAAUUUUAAUAUAGAAAAUUUAAUUUAUUUAAUAAUUAAAAAUUAUUGAGAAUUAGAAUUUAAUUUCUAGCUAAAUUUGUGCCAGCAGCAGCGGUUAAACAAAUAGAAGUCUUCCUUAUAUAAAUUAAUUUAAAAAAAAAAAAAUAAAAUAUAUUUAAAAUUAAAGGUGAAAUUUAAUUUUAAUUUUUAAAUUUAAAUAAAAUUGAAAUUUCAAUUUUAAACUAGGAUUAGAUACCCUAUUAUUUAUGAAGCUAAACAUUGUAAGUAAAUGUUAAUUAUGAAAGCAAAAAUUAUGGCGGUAUCUUAAGCUUUUCAGAGGAAUUUGCUCUAUAAUGGAUAAAACGCCUAAACCUUACUUUGACUAGUAAAAUCAAUUUGUAUACCACUAUUAAAAUAAUAACAUACAACUAUUAUUUCAAUAUAAUUUAUAUAAAAAAUUAAGUCAAGGUGCAGUAAAAGUCAAUGAAUGAAGUGAAUUACAUUUCUUUUUAGAAAAGAAAAAUGAAAAGUAAAUUAGGAUUUGAAAGUAAAAUUAAAAUAAAAUGUUAAUUUGAAUUAAGCUCUAAGAUAUGUACAUAUCGCCCGUCACUCUUUUUAAGAUAAGUCGUAACAAAGUUAAAAUACUGGAAAGUGUUUU